UUUGAUCCUGGCUCAGGAUGAACGCUGGCGGUAUGCUUAACACAUGCAAGUCGAACGGGACUCUUCGGAGAAUCUGGCUUCAGGUUCGGGACAACCACGGGAAACGGUGGCUAAUACCGAAUGUGCAGAAAUGUGAAAGAUUAAUUGCCUGAAGAUGAGCUCGCGUCUGAUUAGCUAGUUGGUGGGGUAAGAGCCUACCAAGGCAACGAUCAGUAACUGGUCUGAGAGGAUGACCAGUCACACUGGGACUGAGACACGGCCCAGACUCCUACGGGAGGCAGCAGUGGGGAAUUUUCCGCAAUGGGCGAAAGCCUGACGGAGCAAUACCGCGUGAGGGAGGAAGGCUCUAGGGUUGUAAACCUCUUUUCUCAGGGAAGAACAAAAUGACGGUACCUGAGGAAUCAGCAUCGGCUAACUCCGUGCCAGCAGCCGCGGUAAUACGGAGGAUGCAAGCGUUAUCCGGAAUUAUUGGGCGUAAAGCGUCCGCAGGUGGCAGUUCAAGUCUGCUGUUAAAGGUCGAGGCUCAACCCCGAACAGGCAGUGGAAACUGAACAGCUAGAGUGCGGUAGGGGCAGAGGGAAUUCCCAGUGUAGCGGUGAAAUGCGUAGAGAUUGGGAAGAACACCGGUGGCGAAAGCGCUCUGCUAGGCCGUAACUGACACUCAUGGACGAAAGCUAGGGGAGCGAAUGGGAUUAGAUACCCCAGUAGUCCUAGCCGUAAACGAUGGAUACUAG
rnacentral:rRNA from 1 species